rnacentral:rRNA from 1 species
UACAGAGGGUGCGAGCGUUUAAUCGGAAUUACUGGGCGUAAAGCGUGCGUAGACGGCUAUCUAAGUCGGGUGUGAAAGCCCCGGGCUCAACCUGGGAAUUGCAUUCGAGACUGAAUAGCUAGGGUACGGUAGAGGGAAGUGGAAUUUCCGGUGUAGCGGGUGAAAUGCGUAGAUAUCGGAAGGAACAUCAGUGGCGAAAGCGACU